AGUGAAAUAGCGGGGUCAAAUGGUGGUUUCAUUUCAACUUUUCUAAGCAAUCUCCAUACUGCUUUCCAUAGUGGUUAUACCAAUUUGCAGUGCCACCAGGUAU
rnacentral:pre_miRNA from 1 species